UUUCUUUCCCGCAGACAGCCCCCAAAAUCCCUAGUCUCUCUUUGCCGUUUCGUCCAUCGAAGGUCUUCAAAUCGAAUGGCCGGCGAGACGAUGCCUUCUGCCCUUUCUUCUUCAGAUGGAGUGACCGUCGAUGAAGUGCUGUAGCCUCUCUCUACCGUUUCUUCCAUUGAAGGUUGUCGAAUAGAGUGGCCGGCGAGACGACCAUUCUGCCCUUUCUUCUUCAGAUGAAAUGCUCGGAUGAACUCAAUAUACUUCAGAUUGAGUCCAGAUUCAAGACUUCAGGCUUCUGCAUCAACAAAUCCUUGAUUCGAGUUGCCUCAACCAAUCUCUAAUUCGAGGUUCAAUACCCCUGCCUCAACAAUCUUCGUGUUCUCCUCCAAUCCGACGACUCGAGGGUACUUCCGCUGGUUGUACAGUUUUUGCUUCAGAUUUGAGUUCUCAAGGAUUGAAAUCUCUGAUUCAAACACUUCUGCUACUGCCUCCACAGAACGCUGUAGGUUUGAGCUUCAGUUUUGAGCUCUCCUGCAGAUAGAAUCUGUGCCCCCUGCCAGCAUGUCCUCCCAGCGCCCUCUGUACUGGAGAAGAUGGAAGUAGCAGUUUUAUUUACAGAGAGGAGAAAGAGCUUCAGUUGAAGCAAAACCAAACCCGAGAUCUUCAUCCUUGUGCCAAAAUAAUGUAUGCUGAUUACUACAAUGCUGCAAUGCUCUUUUUCGCUCCCCAAACCAAUUUGGUACUUCGCCCUCUGAAUCUUCUGUACACAUCAUGCUUUAGUGGCAAGACAACUAAUAUACUUAGCUUGAGCUUGAACUUUCUGCCAACUUGACAUGAUUGCUCAUCAGGAUUCAAGAGAGGAGCUCUUAGAGCAUGCUGCGGAGGGGAGGGCCCUUACCAUUACAGUACAUUGGUAAAAUGUGGCUCUCCGCUUGCAAGUGUUUGUGACAAUCCUUUCCUUUAUGUUAGCUGGGAUCAUUUGCAUUUGACAGAAUCUGCAUAUAGAUGGAUUUCCAGUGGCUUAUAAAAAGCCCCAUACACCGUUCCUCACAUUGAUCCCUCGUAAUUCUGUGGUCUGAAUGCUGGCUAUUUGGAAUUUCAGAUUAAUGACUGCUGAGAGAUUACAACAUGUUUUAUUUGCUUUGCUUUGCUUUUCUGUGCAUUGCUUGUUAUGAUUUUGUGCAUGGGCUUUGCUUAGUAAUAAAAUAUACACCAAACUAGAAUCUUUAUAUAUAAAUAAUUCCUCAGCAACCAACCUUUUGUGCAAA